rnacentral:rRNA from 1 species
AUGAAAAUGAUGAGCUGUAACUGUCGAGGCUUGGGUCAGCCUCGUACAGUCCAAGAACUUGUGUGUCUCUCAAAGACGCAUCGACCCAAUGUUAUCUUCCUUUCUGAAACUAGACAAAAUAAAAAGUAUGUUGAGAGUUUGCGUUAUCGAUUGGGCUUGAAAUAUGUUUAUACUGUUUCUGUGCAAGGAAAAGGUGGGGGCUUGGCAGUUUUUUGGGAUGAGAAUUAUUCUCUUGAACUAAACAAGUUUGGAGAUCAUUUUAUUGACAUGUACAUCAGCAAUGGAGAUGGAUCAAAAUGGAGAUGUACCUUCGUUUACAGGGAACCAAAGGCGAGCCAAAGGUACGUUAUGUGGGAUCUUUUGAGGCGGAUAAAACCUCUUGGCACGGGUCCUUGGUUUAUGGUGGGUGACUUUAAUGAGGCUAUGUGGCAAAAUGAGCACUUUUCUCGUCAUAAGAGGUCAAAUAGACUCAUGGAAAAUUUUCAUGAAGUCCUUCAAAAUGUAAUUUAUUUGAUUUGGGUUUCCAAGGCGUCCCAUGGACUUAUAAUAAUAAGCAAGAAGGCGACAGAAAUGUCAAGGUGCGUCUUGAUCGUGCGGUGGCUUGCCCUCAAUGGUCUUUUUUAUUCCCUCGCUGCAAGGUAUCUCACAUUCUGA